UUGCACGCUGGCGGCAGGCCUAACCCAUGCAAGUCGAACGGUAACAGGAAGUAGCUUGCUUCUUUGCUGACGCGUGGCGGACGGGUGAGUAAUGUCUGGGAAACUGCCUGAUGGAGGGGGAUAACUACUGGAAACGGUAGCUAAUACCGCAUAACGUCGCAAGACCAAAGAGGGGGACCUUCGGGCCUCUUGCCAUCGGAUGUGCCCAGAUGGGAUUAGCUAGUAGGUGGGGUAACGGCUCACCUAGGCGACGAUCCCUAGCUGGUCUGAGAGGAUGACCAUCCACACUGGAACUGAGACACGGUCCAGACUCCUACGGGAGGCAGCAGUGGGGAAUAUUGCACAAUGGGCGCAAGCCUGAUGCAGCCAUGCCGCGUGUAUGAAGAAGGCCUUCGGGUUGUAAAGUACUUUCAGCGGGGAGGAAGGGAGUAAAGUUAAUACCUUUGCUCAUUGACGUUACCCGCAGAAGAAGCACGGGCUAACUCCGUG
rnacentral:rRNA from 1 species